GAUGAACGCUGGCGGCGUGCCUAAUACAUGCAAGUCGAGCGAACAGACGAGGAGCUUGCUCCUCUGACGUUAGCGGCGGACGGGUGAGUAACACGUGGAUAACCUACCUCUAAGACUGGGAUAACUUCGGGAAACCGGAGCUAAUACCGGAUAAUAUAUUGAACCGCAUGGUUCAAUAGUGAAAGACGGGUUUGCUGUCACUUAUAGAUGGAUCCGCGCCGCAUUAGCUAGUUGGUAAGGUAACGGCUUACCAAGGCAACGAUGCGUAGCCGACCUGAGAGGGUGAUCGGCCACACUGGAACUGAGACACGGUCCAGACUCCUACGGGAGGCAGCAGUAGGGAAUCUUCCGCAAUGGGCGAAAGCCUGACGGAGCAACGCCGCGUGAGUGAUGAAGGUCUUCGGAUCGUAAAACUCUGUUAUUAGGGAAGAACAAAUGUGUAAGUAACUAUGCACGUCUUGACGGUACCUAAUCAGAAAGCCACGGCUAACUACGUG
rnacentral:rRNA from 1 species